UACGGUAGGGUGCAAGCGUUAAUCGGAAUUACUGGGCGUAAAGCGUGCGCAGGCGGUGAUGUAAGACAGGUGUGAAAUCCCCGGGCCUUAACCUGGGAACUGCAUUUGUGACUGCAUCGCUGGAGUGCGGCAGAGGGGGAUGGAAUUCCGCGUGUAGCAGUGAAAUGCGUAGAUAUGCGGAGGAACACCGAUGGCGAAGGCAAUCCCCUGGGCCUGCACUGACGCUCAUGCACGAAAGCGUGGGGAGCAAACAGG
rnacentral:rRNA from 1 species